GUACCUCAGCCAGAGAAAGGCCUGCUGACUGAACACAGCUGACGUCUCCUGUCUCUGCUUUUUGUGUAAAACAGUAUGGCAAAGAUUCCAGAGCAUCCACCACAAGCCCCCAGGAACAGAGCUUUGAAGCCAGGAAAUACCAGACCAACGUGUGAAGUCAUGCACGAGUCCCGCUGGACUGAUCAUCUGUCACUCCACAGCCAUCUGGGUGAGACCUCAGGCCUGUUUAUGUCUUCAAGCAACCGAACAACAUCGAUAUAAGACUCAGAUGAGUCUUCUUCACUUGAUCCAUCUGCCAUCACCUGUAAAACAAACUCUGCACCGAUACCUCGUCUAAUUUGGGAAUAAUGUUACACCUCACGUCUGUGUGAUGUCUGCGCACAGCUUCGUGUUGCCUCUAGUUCACUCGUGAGGAAAGUAUGAGCCAAUAAUAACGCAGCAUGUGGAGCAGCGUAAGACAAAAACAAAACCAAGCCUCCUUGUAUCUCAAAUCAGCUAAGUGCCACAUAGUCAAAAGAUCCAAUCUCCAAAUCUGGCCUAUCUAGCCAAUGGCUUAUGCAACUAAUUAACUUCACACACCAAAAUUUGAAUUUAAAUUAACAAUUGCGAGAUAUCAUCAGGGGACACAAAGCACCCCACGAAGAAGUUUAUGAUGAAAAAAAGAUGAGUAUUAGAGGAGGCAAUCGGUGAAGUAAGGAGGGCUUUUAGAUGAGGGGAUAUCUCCAAUUACAAUCCACCGUACACUUGUCAGCAGUAAUGAAAUGUUUGCUGAGAGGUUGCUAUUUGUGGCUGCUAGAUUGGAUGAUGCUGCUCCACUGCCCCCACUAACAAUUAUAUUCCACGCAUAAAUUUCCCCGCCAUCUCUCCUAUUGUGUGAACUGUCGGCCAGAUAUACCUACAACUGUCCAAGAAGUCACGGAAUAAUGAAACACUAUUGUGUACAGCAGGUAUGACAUUCUCCCGCUGCAGUGGAAAUGUAUCUCAAGAGAGAAGAAGAAGGAAAAAAGGAAAAACUUCUGCUUCUUUUAUUGUUUUUAAAGAAUUACAUAAUGCAUUAAUCACAGUAAAGACAAACCGGCUUUCCCCGCAUGUCAUAAUUGUGCAAGCUUACAAUUAAAUGUAAAAUUAGAUGUAAGAUGUAAAACUCUCUUUUUAUUUUUUCUCUGCUCAGCUUUUCAACUCAAUUGCACAGGGAGCAGAGCAGUAAAGCUUUGAAGAACAGACACACUCUUCAGUCCGUUAGCUUGGCACCACUGCCCAGUGGUUUGCAUACAAUCAGAGCUAAAGUUACAGUUGCUAUCACAGUCAUAUGUACACUUGUGGAAAUAAUCUGCCAUUUUGAUCACUGCUCCGCCAGGGUCAUCUGUAGCUGCUGCGAGCGGCUGAAACAUAAGCCAGGUCCAAAUAAUUUCAUCAGAUUUGUGCAGUAUGUAUUUCCAAUUAAAGUGACAUCACAUAAACCUAAUUAGUAUAGAUGCAACCUGCAACUUGAUUUUCCAGUGCAUGGUUUUCUCAUCAAAUUGAUUACAGAGACUCUGCGAGGAAGUGUACUGCACAUACGAAUCUGGUGCUACUGUAGGCGGAUAUAAAAAUGUAUUUGUGAUGUUGCACCUAAAAAGAGCAACAGUCGGGCAUUUAACUCCGGCUACUGCGACGUAAUUCUAAUCACAAUAUGUUAAUGUUAAAUGACUGCAAAGGCCAGACGUAAUGACAUUUCAAAAAUGCCCUGCUCCCUGUCAAUUUUCUCAGGAAAACACAUCUGUUUUGUGCAAAAUAAAUCAUCGAGUUCUGAUAUGCAAGUAUCACGGACACAAAAAGAAGCUUUGCAUCCUCUUGCAGGUUCAAUUACUGGCCUGUAGGCAGAUGCUAAUCCUAUUCUACGGUUUUAUCAUGAUUGAGAAUGUACAGACCAUUCAAUGACUUCAUGCAAGAGGAGGCAGAGGGUCAACCAAUCACACGAUCGUCUCACACGCACUCACUAGAUAAAAACCACACUCACGUACUACACCAACCACUUUAGCAUAAACUGCAAGUCAGUAACAAGUCAAUAGAGUUGAUUAUUUGCUCUUCUAUCCUACUGUGUAUUGUGCUGUCAGGACAGUCGCCGUGAAAAGUAAUGGAUUAUCGAAAACUAUAAUACACGUGGCACGUCUGUGCACAAAAAUGAAGCAGAGGAUUUCAAGAGAGGAGAGGGGUUUUAGUCAUUUCUGGAUAAUUAAAGACAUGCUUGGACUAUAUUUGGAAAGAUACAAUGACACUGGGAUAUCACAGCACGCCAAAUUGGGGAGAGAACAAAAAAUAAUAAGAAGUGCACAUAAACACGAGUCCCUUUCUUGAACUUAUGAGGAGGUAGAGAGCUAAUAUCCAAUAGUUCACUAGUCGGCCCAUGCGGACACAUGUGGCAUCUCAGGUAUAAGAUUAGAAACUAAAACGUCUUUGUUCGCUAACAAAGGCUUGUGUUAAUUAAGGGUGACGUGAACGAAACGAGCAUCACAGCAGGUCAAUAUCCGACUCUUCCCUCCAUUCCCCUCACUGUUUUAUGAUUUCUUAGCAGUGCAAAAUAAUGAUCCAGUACUCUGUUGUCAACCAAUGCAGGACAGUCGUAAUCAGGCUCAUUGGUUUUCAACUCUGAGGUAGGAUCUAGAAUACCAAAGGGGAUAUUUGUUCAAACUCAAGUGCAUUAAAGGGACUGAGCCGUGACAAUCAGUGAUGUGGAGAUGCUCACGUUCCUGCAGCGACGGCUGGACAAAGGUUUCCUAGUGAGACGCGGCCGUCCCACUGGAGUGUGUGUGUGUGUGUGGAGGGGUGUAUGGUGGGGAUAAUGUCUAUGCUGGGUUAAAAAAUAAUAGUCAAAAAUAACUACCUGUACAGAGCGCCCCUCGUCAAAGGCACAAUUUUCAAUAUUUCCAUAAAUGCCACCGCUACUCUGCGCAUGAGUUGACCCUGUAUCGUUACCCACCAGCAUCCCCACCUACUCGUCACUAAGGUGCCUUCCUAACUUUUCUAGCAAGUUCAUUAUAGUUACACUACUUGCCUUGAAUGGGCAUGAUAUGCAUUCUUUUAAAAUUAGAUAAACAAAAGCAUUAAAUAGAAUUACAGAAAUAAAUACACUUUUUAUUUCAUAUAAAUAUGUGGGCCCUUACGUCCAAAUUGUCACUGACACACAUGUUUUUGGGAAUAAGAUGAAGUAAACAAUUCAUGAAAUAAGCUGCCCUACUUGUUUGAUACACUUACCUUAUGAGUCGUAUGGUUAUUGUGAACUGAUCCAAGUGUUUAUGAGUCGCUAAAUCCCGUCAGUAAGUAUCACGCACUGUAAAUCCCCAACGUUACAGUGCAUUUAAUGAACAUUAUAUUGUAAUUUAAUUGGAAGCCCUUCCCUCUCACUCAGGGGGGAAUAAAAAGAUCAGUGAUCACAUCAAGGAAGUCUGGUCCCUUUAUAUAGGAUUAUCUUUUAGGUUGAUUUAAUGUCAUAUUGGUAAUUGUGUGUAUAUAUAAAAUUUCUAAUACAGACCCCAAACGUGAAACAUGAUUGAAGAGACAAAAAGGAAAAAAUCCAAAUCAGGUUCAGAGUUAACAUCUUGCCAAUUUUUCCCCCAAGGCCGUUUUUUUUUUU